rnacentral:rRNA from 1 species
UACGUAGGGUGCGAGCGUUGUCCGGAAUUAUUGGGCGUAAAGAGCUCGUAGGCGGUCUGUCGCGUCGGUCGUGAAAACUUGGGGCUUAACCCUGAGCUUGCGGUCGAUACGGGCAUGACUGGAGUUCGGCAGGGGAGACUGGAAUUCCUGGUGUAGCGGUGAAAUGCGCAGAUAUCAGGAGGAACACCGAUGGCGAAGGCAGCCCCCUGGGCUAACACUGACGCUCAGGCACGAAAGCGUGGGGAGCAAACAGG